GUCGCAGGUUCGAAUCCUGCACGACCCACCAAUUUCAGCAUUUAACUCAGAUGCUGAACGUGAAGGAUAACGUUGCGACAGCAACGGCCCGAAGGGCGAGGCGAAGUCGAGUCAUCCUGCACGACUCACCA
rnacentral:sRNA from 1 species